GCGCUUCUUAAUCUUUUUUUCCUCUUCCAUUAUUUUCCUCUGUCUUUUCCUCUGUCUCCUUUUCUCGCCUUCUCUCUUUAAUGUUUACUUUUAUUCGAAUAUCCAAACUACGCCCCCAUGCGAUUAAUCAUAGAAAUUGAGGGAAAGAGAGAAAAGAAAACAGAGACAUGGUGACAUCUUCUAUCUCUCAAUGUGACAAUUUAACCUCUUGUUUAUCUUAAUCAAUGAUUUUCUUUUCUCUCCUAAUUAAUAUUAAUUUUUUCUUCUUUUUUCUUUCCAACUUUUAAUUUCUUCCUCUAAUCUUCAGUCAUCACCAUUUAAUUUAAUUCCGCAUUCUACUUGAGAAUUAGAAUAAUCUGACUUUUAUUGUUCUUUUCUCUUUAAGACUUUUCCUUCUAUUCCAGUGUCAACUAAUAUUCUAACAAUUUUAUUCUAUUCUCUUCUACUUUUACUUCAUUUUUCUCUUUGUAAAUUUAUGUCUUUUCAUUGUCUUCUUCAUUCAUAUCAUCAUAAUCAUCUCUCUCUCUCUCUCUCUCUCUCUCUCUCUCUCUCUCUCUCUCUCUCUUUGUGUCUUCCCUUGGAUUCUGAUUAAGCCAAUGUCAAGAUAUGAUAACAUUUUGUAUACAAAUGAUGUGGUGAUGAGAUAAAAUCUUUGCAACAUCAAACAAUUUUUCUACUUCAAUGGUACAAUGGUUUGACUACAUUAUGGGUUAUUUGAUAGGCUUCACAAGAAGAUAAAUCAUCAUCAUCAUCAUCUUUAUCUUCAUCGUCAUCGUCAUCGUAAUUCUGAUCAUCAUUAAGAUUUUUUUUUCUCCCACUUCUUGGAUAAUAAACCUUGACUUCCGUUGGCAGAAAAAAAAACUCAAUAACAUGAACCAGGAAAAACUAGAGGAAAAAAUUACAGAGAAAAAAGUAAACAAAUCAGAUCCAAUUGCAUGGUAAUGGUUGACACAUGUAAUUAAAAUUCUCUGUCAGGAAGAUUCUUGGUGACUCUUGAUUGUACCGAAUUGGUGUCGGAUUAGUUGAAGAUUCAAUUUCCAUCAUUUCAAUUGAAUUGUUAACAAUCAAUUUGAUUUUGUUUUUAUUUUCUUUGUUCUUUUUUUUUUCUUCAGUUUUUGAGUUUUCUCUUUCUCCAAGUCUUAUUACAAAUUGGAUAAUAUUAUUAUUCUCUCACUGAGUUUAUCAUAAUAAUUAUAAUAAUAAUUGAAUUUAUGGAUAAGUUCAUUUUCAUCACCAUAAGUUUGUCAGAAGAUUAAAUUACUCAGCUCAACAUGGAUAAUUAUCAAGGAUUAAAUAAUGUUUGUUCACCAUCGUCAAA